rnacentral:rRNA from 1 species
UACGGGGGGAGCAAGCGUUGUUCGGAUUUACUGGGCGUAAAGGGCGCGUAGGCGGCCACCGCAAGUCAAUUGUGAAAUCUCCGGGCUUAACCCGGAAAGGUCAGCCGAUACUGCGGGGCUAGAGUGCAGAAGGGGCAACUGGAAUUCUCGGUGUAGCGGUGAAAUGCGCAGAUAUCAGGAGGAACACCGAUGGCGAAGGCAGGUCUCUGGGCCACUACUGACGCUGAGAAGCGAAAGCAUGGGGAGCGAACAGG